GACACUUGUGUGCAUGUCGUUAAAGCUUAUGCCAGUUGUUAUUUUGUUUAUUAUAUUUUAAUAUUAGAAUAUUAGUUUCCAAAACACCAGCAUUUAGCUUGAUUGCUGUAUACCAGACUUUAUAGGGUAGCUUGAGCGCUCUUAUGAAUAUUAUUCAAUUUUAUGUCAUACCAGUUGCAAUUGAUUCAGCAAAUCACAGGAGAAAAAGUCUCUCUUCUUCUUUGAGGAUUUAGUUUCCUUUCAGGCUUCCAUGCCACUCUCCCCUUCGGUCUUUUGGGUUUCCAAUUAUGGUUUCCUGACUUUGUUUAAUUCUCUGUCCGUUAGUGAUUGUUUUGAGCAAUUCAAGUGAUCCCCUGUAUUUUUGUUAGGAUUUCUUUCUAUUUGUGUAGAAGUUUUGUACGCAUGAUCAUCAAUUCUAGCUGCCCCCAAAUACAAAAAAGGCCUAUUAUUAAGACAGUCUGUUGCUCCAGGUACAUCUUCUUCGUAUUUUACUGCUUUAAUUGAACAAAAUGUUCCCUGGUGUAUCAUGUAUGGUUUAAUUCUUCUUAGAUACGGCAUGAAAUUUUCAUGAAAAUUCUAUUUUUUCUUCCUUUUUUUACAACUAGGAUGCAAUUAUGGUUAUUAAAAAUCAAUUUUAGAUAUCUAUAUUUUUUAAUUGUUUGGUGUUGAUUUAAUUAUUUGAAACGAUUUGAAAGUUUAAGUCUUUAUGAUUGUUCUAUGAUCAACAAAGAAGAACAGAAAAGUCUGCAAAUAUAAUCUGAAAUUCUGGCAGAAAAAAGAACGAAUUACGCUUUUGCUCCAUAUUACAACCAGUUUUCCCCCUUUGUUUGUUGACCCCAAACUAGAAAUAAAUAAAUAAAUAAAAUUAACACAAUUAUUUCUAUUGAAUUGAUGUUACCGCUGCAAAUUCCAUCAUGCUAAUACCUUCCCGUGUUACUAAUCCGUUGACGAAAAGCGGGCAUGAUUCACCUUCUAAUCUCUUGAUAUAAUACCACAACCUCUAAUGAAGCUCAAGGAAGGAAAAGCAGCUGCCCCAUCUCUUGCACCUCAUCAAUAAACUACACUUGAAACACCAAUUAAAGGUGGCAAGAUGGAAGCCCAACCUCUGGAAACAACCAUGAUCAGCUCUGUCAUACCACAUUUGUCAAGAUUCUGCCACUUCAAAAACUUUUUCAAAUUUACAAGUGAUCGUUAAUGUCCCAAUGGUGCGCUCCUUAAUCUUAUUAGUUACGUUUAGUCAGUGGCCCUCUCUUCUAGUUGAAUAGAUUUGAAUGUAUUUGGUUGGAUUGUAUGAAUUGACCAUAACUAAACACCUUAAGAAAAUUUUUAAAGCUACCAAAAAUAGGUUCUAAAUAUUGGUCAGCUAAAAAUUUCAAGUCGAUCCGAACAUUAAGAGAAGAUGAAACAAGUCUAAGUGAGAAUUUAAGGCGUAUACCUGUGUUGUUCACGCUAUAUUUAUCGUAACAAUAAAUAUUUAUACUGAAAAUGGUACUCAUUACAUUGUGCAGCGAAGAAAAUAAAAGAACCCUACAUCCAGAUCUAUGAAGAAAAGAGGAAGAAGACAAACACCGCAAGUUGGAAAUCCAGAACAUGUUGUGGAAGCCGGAAGGUAUUUAGUUCAAUUCUUGUUUUUUUAUAUUUGUUUUAAUUUUUUAUUAAUUCAAAUUACAGUAACCAAAAAAGAUAUUUGCAGACAAUAAGCUAAGUUUAUUGGAAAAUGCUGAAGAUGUUCAACAAGAGAGGUUGAAUGGGGGAACUGGUUCAAAGGUCGUCUUAGGUUUGGCAUGUACUGAAUUGGGGAGCUCAAGACAUAAGACAGGGGGUUUAAGAGGUAAAAGGGCUUGGAAGUCCCAUGGUAAGGAAUCCUUGAAGCUUGGGUGUCUACGAGCAGCUAUCAAAUGAUAUGGCUAUACAGAAUAUAAAGGCGAAUAUAAUGAUUCGACUGACAAUUGUUAACAUAUGGUUUUGAAUCUUGAUGAAGAGGCUUUCUUUGUAAAUAGGUAUUUAAGGAUUGGUUUGCUAGCCUGCUAACAUGAAAUUGUGAAAUCUCAUGAGACUACUUCGUUCAAUAAUCAAAUCAUUAGUCAAUAAAUUUAAAUGAUCAAGAAUAUCAAGUGAGAGUGCAACACAUGUCUCCAUAAAUAGUUGCACGUGCAACGCACCUGCAG
rnacentral:lncRNA from 1 species